ACUACAAAAUACUCAUUCAUUA
rnacentral:miRNA from 15 species